AAACCUUUUAUACUAACUCAUGGGGAUCCUUUUAAAGACCCCCUUUUAUCCCGGUUGGUAUUACAAACCGGGAUAAAAGGGUCCGAAGGAUUUAGUCCUCCACCAGCCACACGUGGGGGACCCUUUUAUCCCGGUUGGAAACACUAACUAGGAUAAAAGACCCCCUUUUAUCCCGGUUGGUAUUACAAACCAGGAUAAAAGGGUCCAAGGGCUUUAGUUCUUUUUCAACCACCAGUGAGGGACCCUUUUAUCCUGGUUGGAGUUUGCAACCGGGAUAAAAGAUCCCAU
rnacentral:lncRNA from 1 species